rnacentral:rRNA from 1 species
UACGAGAGUUUUUAACUCAAGUGGCGGACGGGUGAGUAACACGUAAAAAUUUGCCUCUAGGAGGGGGAUAACAACUGGAAACGGUUGCUAAUACCCCAUAUGCUUUCGAGUGAAAUGGAUUUCCGCCUAGAGAGAAGCUUGCGGCUGAUUAGCUUGUUGGUGAGGUAAUGGCUCACCAAGGCGACGAUCAGUAUCUGGUUUGAGAGGACGGUCAGACACACUGGAACUGAGACACGGUCCAGACUCCUACGGGAGGCGGCAGUGGGGAAUUUUCCGCAAUGGGCGAAAGCCUGACGGAGCAAUACCGCGUGAGGGAUGACGGCCUAUGGGUUGUAAACCUCUUUUUUCAGGGAGGAAUCAAUGACGUGUACUUGAAGAAUAAGCAUCGGCUAACUCCGUGCCAGCAGCCGCGGUAAGACGGAGGAUGCAAGUGUUAUCCGGAAUCACUGGGCGUAAAGCGUCUGUAGGUGGUUUAAUAAGUCAACUGUUAAAUCUUGAGGCUCAACCUCAAAAUCGCAGUCCAAACUAUUAGACUAGAGUAUAGUAGGGGUAAAGGGAAUUUCCAGUGGAGCGGUGAAAUGCGUAGAUAUUGGAAGGAACACCGAUGGCGAAGGCACUUUACUGGGCUAUUACUAACACUCAGAGACGAAAGCUAGGGUAGCAAAUGGGAUUAGAUACCCCAGU